UGAUAAAGGUACAACAAGGGGCAAAGAAGAAAUAUGUGAAACUAGAGGAAGCUUGCUUCUCUGAUUUUCUUCGUGUUGGUAUAAGGUAUCUGUUUUGUAUAAAGCUAUAGAAUAGCAAGUAUCUGUAUUUUGUAAAGAAGUGCUGGUUGUCUUGUUACAGUCCAGGAGAAGUUUCUCAUACCAGAGGACACAAUACUGAAAGUCACAGAUGACCAAAGUGGAUGAGGAUGUCUUUCCAGAACUUGCAGCCAAAGAAAUCUGUUUUGUCAUCUACACUGAUGAUGAACUCUCAUUGGUUGAAUCCUCCAGGAACUCUGGUGACUGCUAAGACAUGACAGAACAUGUGACUCUUGAUCUGUCUGUUCUGCAACAAGGGGAUGAAGUACCAUCUUCUCCAAGUCUGACAUAUACUAUGUCUGUCUCAACAAGUCUUAGCAGUGACACUGGUGACUCAGGAUGUAAAGGGAGUCAACCUUUGGACAGUAAACAUCCAAGAAAUGUAUUUAUAACUUGCAGUACAUACAUAAAAUGCUUGCAUGAUUC